rnacentral:rRNA from 1 species
CCUACGGGAGGCAGCAGUGAGGAAUAUUGGUCAAUGGGCGGAAGCCUGAACCAGCCAAGUAGCGUGAAGGAUGACUGCCCUACGGGUUGUAAACUGCUUUUAUACGGGAAUAAAGCGCAGUAUGUGUACUGCUUUGCAUGUACCGUAUGAAUAAGGACCGGCUAAAUCCGUGCCAGCAGCCGCGGUAAUACGGAGGGUCCGGGCGUUAUCCGGAUUUAUUGGGUUUAAAGGGAGCGUAGGCGGGUUGUUAAGUCAGUUGUGAAAUUUUCCGGCUCAACCGGACACUUGCAGGUGAUACUGGCGUUCUUGAGUCCACUGGAGGUAGGCGGAAUGCGUGGUGUAGCGGUGAAAUGCUUAGAUAUCACGAAGAACCCCGAUUGCGAAGGCAGCCUGCUGGACCGUAACUGACGCUGAUGCUCGAAAGUGCGGGUAUCAAACAGGAUUAGAUACCCCAGUAGUC